rfam:Echinostoma caproni strain Egypt genome assembly, scaffold: ECPE_scaffold0004600
GAGGUACUAGCUCAAAUGGUAGAGCGCUCGCUUGGCAUGCGAGAGGUACUGGCAUCGUUACCCAGGUACUCUG